rnacentral:rRNA from 2 species
AUUGGUGCUUGCAUCAUGAUUUACAUUUGAGUGAGUGGCGAACUGGUGAGUAACACGUGGGAAACCUGCCCAGAAGCGGGGGAUAACACCUGGAAACAGAUGCUAAUACCGCAUAACAACUUGGACCGCAUGGUCCGAGCUUGAAAGAUGGCUUCGGCUAUCACUUUUGGAUGGUCCCGCGGCGUAUUAGCUAGAUGGUGGGGUAACGGCUCACCAUGGCAAUGAUACGUAGCCGACCUGAGAGGGUAAUCGGCCACAUUGGGACUGAGACACGGCCCAAACUCCUACGGGAGGCAGCAGUAGGGAAUCUUCCACAAUGGACGAAAGUCUGAUGGAGCAACGCCGCGUGAGUGAAGAAGGGUUUCGGCUCGUAAAACUCUGUUGUUAAAGAAGAACAUAUCUGAGAGUAACUGUUCAGGUAUUGACGGUAUUUAACCAGAAAGCCACGGCUAACUACGUGCCAGCAGCCGCGGUAAUACGUAGGUGGCAAGCGUUGUCCGGAUUUAUUGGGCGUAAAGCGAGCGCAGGCGGUUUUUUAAGUCUGAUGUGAAAGCCUUCGGCUCAACCGAAGAAGUGCAUCGGAAACUGGGAAACUUGAGUGCAGAAGAGGACAGUGGAACUCCAUGUGUAGCGGUGAAAUGCGUAGAUAUAUGGAAGAACACCAGUGGCGAAGGCGGCUGUCUGGUCUGUAACUGACGCUGAGGCUCGAAAGUAUGGGUAGCAAACAGGAUUAGAUACCCUGGUAGUCCAUACCGUAAACGAUGAAUGCUAAGUGUUGGAGGGUUUCCGCCCUUCAGUGCUGCAGCUAACGCAUUAAGCAUUCCGCCUGGGGAGUACGGCCGCAAGGCUGAAACUCAAAGGAAUUGACGGGGGCCCGCACAAGCGGUGGAGCAUGUGGUUUAAUUCGAAGCUACGCGAAGAACCUUACCAGGUCUUGACAUACUAUGCAAAUCUAAGAGAUUAGACGUUCCCUUCGGGGACAUGGAUACAGGUGGUGCAUGGUUGUCGUCAGCUCGUGUCGUGAGAUGUUGGGUUAAGUCCCGCAACGAGCGCAACCCUUAUUAUCAGUUGCCAGCAUUAAGUUGGGCACUCUGGUGAGACUGCCGGUGACAAACCGGAGGAAGGUGGGGAUGACGUCAAAUCAUCAUGCCCCUUAUGACCUGGGCUACACACGUGCUACAAUGGAUGGUACAACGAGUUGCGAACUCGCGAGAGUAAGCUAAUCUCUUAAAGCCAUUCUCAGUUCGGAUUGUAGGCUGCAACUCGCCUACAUGAAGUCGGAAUCGCUAGUAAUCGCGGAUCAGCAUGCCGCGGUGAAUACGUUCCCGGGCCUUGUACACACCGCCCGUCACACCAUGAGAGUUUGUAACAC